rnacentral:rRNA from 1 species
GACGGGACCCGCACAAGCAGCGGAGCGUGUGGUUUAAUUCGUUGCUACACGAAGAACCUUACCUGGGUUUGACAUAUAGGUUGUAGGGAACUGAAAGGGACCGACCCUUCGGGGAGCCUAUACAGGUGUUGCAUGGCUGUCGUCAGCUCGUGUCGUGAGAUGUUCGGUUAAGUCCGCUAACGAGCGCAACCCUCGUCGUAUGUUAUAUGUGUCAUACGAGACUGCCGGUAAAAGCCGGAGGAAGGUGAGGAUGAUGUCAAGUCAGCAUGACCUUUAUAUCCAGGGCUACACACACGCUACAAUGGUCUGUACAGUGGGUAGCCAAGCCGCGAGGCGGAGCCAAUCCUGAAAGCAGGCCUCAGUUCAGAUUGCAGUCUGCAACUCGACUGCAUGAAGCCGGAGUUGCUAGUAACCGCAGGUCAGCAAUACUGCGGUGAAUACGUUCCCGGGUCUU